AGGUGCACAGUUGGCUUUAGCCUUCUAAUCUAGAAAACAGAUGGAUUUGGAAGAAAACAGCUGGGACGGGCACAAGUUUCUCAGGAACAGUCAGGAAUAUUCACUGAAGAGCAUGCGGGCUACCUUCUCUGCACGGUUUCCCUGGAGAGAGAAGGCUUUGUGCAAGGAAAACAACAAGGUGUCUCCAUGACCCUCCUUUCUGUCCAUGCCACCAGCUUCCAUCCUGGAUGGUGAAGAAGGUGUGUGUGCCAGAGUGCGGCUUGGAAUAGCAUCCCACAGCGAAGAGCUUCUUUACCGGCUGAUCCAUCUCCACCUCUGAGGCUUCACGUUAGUGUCUGGUUCUGCGCAUUCUCUGCUUGAUGUUGUUAUGAAGGUUUUCCCUCCCCUGGUUUCUGCUUCUGCCCUGUAAGAUGUCACAGGGGCAAAACAAAGAUGGCAUCUGGGCAGGUUUCACAGCAGCUGUCCUGAGCAAGGAUGGAAGGCAUCUGCCUGGUUUAUCAGAGUAGCUGGUGCUCCUGAACCAGUCAGUAAUCAGCAGGCAGGCGCUCUGGCCUCUGCUGCAGGCAGUGCCUCUGGAUUCCAGCUCACAGAUGGUACAGACAGGGCCAGACACAGGCAUGGGUGAACCAGGCAGCCACCCAGCGCUUGAACAGAAUGUGGGCCCA